rnacentral:rRNA from 1 species
UACGAAGGGGGCUAGCGUUGCUCGGAAUUACUGGGCGUAAAGCGUGCGCAGGCGGCCUCUUAAGUCAGAUGUGAAAUCCCCGGGCUCAACCUGGGAACUGCAUCUGUGACUGCAUAGCUAGAGUACGGUAGAGGGGGAUGGAAUUCCGCGUGUAGCAGUGAAAUGCGUAGAUAUGCGGAGGAACACCGAUGGCGAAGGCAAUCCCCUGGACCUGUACUGACGCUCAUGCACGAAAGCGUGGGGAGCAAACAGG